rnacentral:lncRNA from 1 species
UGGCUAAAGGCAUAGAAUAUGUAACAGAUUUUUAUGAAUGCAUUGGUCAAGACUAAAAUUGGUCCAUAGACUGAUGAUGCUUGUACUUAAAGAGAACAUGAAAACUCACAGCCAAUAUGUUAUCAAUUUCAUUUUGUAUCCUCCAGUUCAAGAAAUCAAUCAGCUGAAAUAUGAAGUAUGAUUGGUAAGAAUACUUGAAAUCCAUAAACUUGAUUCAAGUAAGAUACUCUUUGGGAUUUUCUUAGAAUAGAAUGUGUCGUACCAUUUUAUACGCAUUUGAGACAUU